rnacentral:rRNA from 1 species
UACGUAGGGUGCGAGCGUUUAAUCGGAAUUACUGGGCGUAAAGGGUGCGUAGGCGGCGCGGUAAGUCGGGUGUGAAAUCUUGGAGCUUAACUCCGAAACUGCAUUCGAUACUGCCGUGCUUGAGGACUGGAGAGGAGACUGGAAUUUACGGUGUAGCGGUGAAAUGCGUAGAUAUCGUAAGGAAGACCAGUGGCGAAGGCGGGUCUCUGGACAGUUCCUGACGCUGAGGCACGAAGGCCAGGGGAGCAAACGGG